rnacentral:rRNA from 1 species
GAUGAACGCUAGCGGCAGGCCUAACACAUGCAAGUCGAGGGGCAGCGGGGAUAAGCUUGCUUAUCCGCCGGCGACCGGCGCACGGGUGCGCAACGCGUAUAGAAUCUGCCUUGUACUGGGGAAUAGCCCAGAGAAAUUUGGAUUAAUGCCCCAUGGUAUGUAAUUGUGGCAUCACUAUUACAUUAAAGGUUACGGUACAAGAUGACUAUGCGUCCCAUUAGUUAGUUGGUAAGGUAACGGCUUACCAAGGCAGCGAUGGGUAGGGGCCCUGAGAGGGGGAUCCCCCACACUGGUACUGAGACACGGACCAG